CUGGGCUCAUGGCGCUGCAGAGAGCCAGAGGAAUCUGCUUCUCUUCCAGGGCUCCAAGACACGCUGCUCAUCCGUUCCAAAGGCAAGAGCCCGGGCUUGAAGACCGUCCGAGUGGAGAGGAGCAGCCUUUUAGAAAGAGUAAAGAACUUCCUACCUCACAUCGAACAGGCAAACAAAAAACUAAGAGAGGAAAUGGCGUCAGGGCCUCCAGGCCUGUUCAAUAUUGAAAACGUAGAUGACUCCCAGGAAAAAACCAUAGAAAUGGACGUGGCGGUGGUGGAGGUGAGCAGCUCUGAUUCUGAAGACCUCAGUUCAGGAGAGAGUUCCGAAUGCGAGGAUGAAAACAGCAUAACUGGAGAGGUCACUGUGGAGAAUAUUAAGCUUCCUAAACCAGGAGGAAGGAGAGGCAAGAUAGAAGUGUUGGACACUUGAACCACCAGAUGGGUGAAGCUGCCUGUCUCAGGCCCCACCUGGGCCGCCCUCAGGGGACCCGGCCCCCUCUGGCUCCAGGGGAUCGUUUGUGUGACUGACCAUUGUCUGUUUCGUGGGACAUCUGCACUGCUUCUGUAUAUGUUGUAUGUAGUUCACUAGGGUUAUGUGUGAAAGUCAACUUUUCUAGCCCCUUGCCCAGAACCCAGCAUGGAAACAAAUGGCACUAAAUAAAUGCUUUUAAAAUCAACA
rnacentral:lncRNA from 1 species